GCUGUGAUUUUCGCCAGUCCAUGGUGUUUGGUGAUUCUAUUUUCAUGCGAAGCUUUUUAAAAAUUUCAGCUGUAAACAAUACAGGUGGUAGAAACACUAGAUUAGUAAGGGUCGUUUCUUACAACAUUCUCGCUCAGUGUUAUGUAAGAAGCUCCCUUUUUCCCAAAAGCGAAAAAAAGGUUUUAAGAAAUAAAUUUCGAAUUUUAAAUUUGGUUAAAGAACUUGAAAGCUACGAAGCCGACCUUUUCGGGCUUCAGGAAGUUGAUGAUUACCCAUAUCUACAAAGUUUUUUGAAAAUAGAAAUUUUAAAACUAGCUUUAAGCUAAGAACUCAAGUUACGAAAAAAAAACUUGACGGAAGGUUUAAAACAAAAUGUUAAACCUGUGAAUCUUAAGUUAGAGUUUGAAGUUUAAUAGCAUGGAACGCUCACAAGUUUGAA